GGGGCGGUGGUCCAGUUUGGUCUAAGAUCCCGGUCUCGGGAGCCGGAGAUCGCGGGUUCAAAUCCCGCCCGCCCCACCA
rnacentral:tRNA from 1 species